UACAGAGGCCACAAGCGUUAAUCGGAAUCACUGGGCUUAAAGGGUGCGUAGGCGGCGCCGCAAGUGCUUUGUGAAAUCCCGCAGCUUAACUGCGGAAUUGCUCGGCAUACUGCGGUGCUUGAGGUCGGUAGAGGUCGUCGGAACAGUAGGUGGAGCGGUGAAAUGCGUAGAUAUCUACUGGAACGCCAAAGGUGAAGACAGGCGACUGGGCCGAUUCUGACGCUGAGGCACGAAAGCGUGGGGAGCGAAC
rnacentral:rRNA from 1 species